UCAAUUUUAACAAAUUAUUGUACUAAAAUUAGAAUUUAGCUAACUACCCAUAACACUCCAAAUUAA
rnacentral:tRNA from 1 species